rnacentral:rRNA from 1 species
AACGAACGCUGGCGGCAUGCCUUACACAUGCAAGUCGAACGACGCCAGGGGGCAACUCCUGGCGAGUGGCAAACGGGUGAGUAAUACAUCGGAAUGUAUCCCGUCGUGGGGGACAACCAGUCGAAAGACUGGCUAAUACCGCAUGAGAUCGAAAGAUGAAAGCGGGGGAUCCGCAAGGACCUCGCGCGAUGGGAGCAGCCGAUGUCGGAUUAGCGAGUUGGCGGGGUAACGGCCCACCAAGGCGACGAUCCGUAGCUGGGUUGCGAGAACGACCGGCCACACUGGGAAUGAGACACGGCCCAGACUCGUACGGGAGGCGGAAGGGGGGAAUUUUGGACAAUGGGCGAAAGCCUGAUCCAGCCAGGCCGCGUGUGUGAAGAAGGCCUUCGGGUUGUAAAGCACUUUCGGACGGAACGAAAUCGCGCGGGCGAAUACCCCGCGUGGAUGACGGUACCGUAAGAAGAAGCACCGGCUAACUACGUGCCAGCCGCCGCAGUAAGAC